CCUAACACAUGCAAGUCGAGCGCAGGAAGCAAGCUGAUCCCCUUCGGGGGUGACGCUUGUGGAAUGAGCGGCGGACGGGUGAGUAACACGUGGGCAACCUGCCUGUAAGACUGGGAUAACCCCGGGAAACCGGGGCUAAUACCGGAUAAUACUUUCUUUUGCAUAAAGGAAAGUUGAAAGGCGGCUUCGGCUGUCACUUACAGAUGGGCCCGCGGCGCAUUAGCUAGUUGGUGAGGUAACGGCUCACCAAGGCGACGAUGCGUAGCCGACCUGAGAGGGUGAUCGGCCACACUGGGACUGAGACACGGCCCAGACUCCUACGGGAGGCAGCAGUAGGGAAUCUUCCGCAAUGGACGAAAGUCUGACGGAGCAACGCUGCGUGAGUGAUGAAGGUUUUCGGAUCGUAAAACUCUGUUGUUAGGGAAGAACAAGUACGAUAGUAACUGAUCGUACCUUGACGGUACC
rnacentral:rRNA from 1 species